GUCAGCACGCUCACACCAGGCCACAACAAUGGCCACCCCCAAUGUCCCAGUCCCUGGAGAGGUCUCACCCCUCACCGAGAUGCACUCAGGGCCUAUUAGGGUAAUGCUGGCCUCAUAGAAUGAGUUAGGAAGUGUUUCUUCUGCAUCUAUAUUCUGGAAGAGAUUGUGGAGAAUUGGUAUAAUUUCCCCCUUAAAUGCUUGGUAGAAUUCACCAGUGAAACCAUCUGAGCCAAUGCUUUCCUGUUUUGAAAGAAGGCUUUUGCUUGGAGAGUUCAGCAAGAGAACAAAAUUAACAGGAAACGUCACUUUCACACACAGAUGGAAAAAUGUUAACAUCUCCUGAAUUCUAUGACAGUCUCCUUGAUGGGAACAUAUAUGUCACCAUAACGUCCCAACGAUGUGCAAACACAUCUUAUGAGCAGGUGCUAAACUGAGGUCACUGCUGGAAGAUGGAAGUUUUGGCAGCACUGAGAACAAAAGAUUCCUCCUAGGUGUAGUUUCAAGCUAAGAAAUAAAAAUCAUGUGUAAGAAAUGUUCCAGGCAGCAUAAAACUUCUGGAUGCUUUCGUGACAAUGUACAGAGGAGGCCUUUUAUUACUUUUCUAUUCAACCUUCAUUUCAUAGAUGAUACAGAAAUCCUACUCCUUACUUAAAGAUUUUGUGAAAUAAAAUAAAAAUUUUCUACUGAUUAAAUAAUGUUGUGACUGUUCCAAAAUGAAAAAUAAAUAUGUGACCCUUGCCCUCCUUGAGGCCUGAUUUCAUAACUGUGAAUUAUGAAAAGAGUACAGAAAUAUGUAGCAGAUUCAUUUUGCUCAAAGGUUCCCU